rnacentral:rRNA from 1 species
GAUGAACGCUGGCGGCGUGCCUAAUACAUGCAAGUCGAGCGAACAGACGAGGAGCUUGCUCCUCUGACGUUAGCGGCGGACGGGUGAGUAACACGUGGAUAACCUACCUAUAAGACUGGGAUAACUUCGGGAAACCGGAGCUAAUACCGGAUAAUAUAUUGAACCGCAUGGUUCAAUAGUGAAAGACGGUUUUGCUGUCACUUAUAGAUGGAUCCGCGCCGCAUUAGCUAGUUGGUAAGGUAACGGCUUACCAAGGCAACGAUGCGUAGCCGACCUGAGAGGGUGAUCGGCCACACUGGAACUGAGACACGGUCCAGACUCCUACGGGAGGCAGCAGUAGGGAAUCUUCCGCAAUGGGCGAAAGCCUGACGGAGCAACGCCGCGUGAGUGAUGAAGGUCUUCGGUUCGUAAAACUCUGUUAUUAGGGAAGAACAAAUGUGUAAGUAACUAUGCACGUCGUGACGGUACCUAAUCAGAAAGCCACGGCUAACUACGUG